GGGGAUGUAGCUCAGUGGUAGAGUGCUUGCCUGGCAUGCAUAAGGCCCAGCACCACCCCCA
rnacentral:tRNA from 1 species